rnacentral:rRNA from 1 species
GUGUCAGCAGCCGCGGUAAAACGUAGGGGACAAGCGUUAUCCGGAUUUACUGGGCGUAAAGCGCCCGUAGGCGGCGUCAUAAGUUGGACGUGAAAGCUCCCGGCUUAACUGGGAGAGGCCGUUCAAAACUAUGAGGCUAGAGUGAGGCAGAGGAGCGCGGAAUUCCCGGUGUAGUGGUGGAAUGCGUAGAGAUCGGGAGGAACACCAGUGGCGAAAGCGGCGCUCUGGGCCUAAACUGACGCUGAGGGGCGAAAGCGUGGGGAGCGAACGGGAUUAGAUACCCCGGUAGUCCACGCCGUAAACGAUGGAGACUAGGUGUAGGGGGAUAGAACCCCCUCUGUGCCGAAGCCAACGCGUUAAGUCUCCCGCCUGGGGAGUACGGCCGCAAGGUUAAA